AUUGAACGCUGGCGGCAUGCUUUACACAUGCCAGUCGAACGGCAGCGCGGGCUUCGGCCUGGCGGCGAGUGGCGAACGGGUGAGUAAUACAUCGGAACGUGCCCAGUAGUGGGGGAUAGCUCGGCGAAAGCCGGAUUAAUACCGCAUACGACCCGAGGGUGAAAGCGGGGGAUCUUCGGACCUCGCGCUAUUGGAGCGGCCGAUGGCAGAUUAGCUAGUUGGUGGGGUAAAGGCCUACCAAGGCGACGAUCUGUAGCUGGUCUGAGAGGACGACCAGCCACACUGGGACUGAGACACGGCCCAGACUCCUACGGGAGGCAGCAGUGGGGAAUUUUGGACAAUGGGCGAAAGCCUGAUCCAGCAAUGCCGCGUGUGUGAUGAAGGCCUUCGGGUUGUAAAGCACUUUUGGCGGGAACGAAAAGGACUGUGCCAAUACCACGGUUCGAUGACGGUACCCGCAGAAUAAGCACCGGCUAACUACGUG
rnacentral:rRNA from 1 species